UAGGGAAUUUUCGUCAAUGGGGGGAACCCUGAACGAGCAAUGCCGCGUGUGUGAAGAAGGUCUUCGGAUCGUAAAGCACUGUUGUAAGUGAAGAAUGCCACAUAGAGGAAAUGCUAUGUGGGUGACGGUAGCUUACCAGAAAGCCACGGCUAACUACGUGCCAGCAGCCGCGGUAAUACGUAGGUGGCAAGCGUUAUCCGGAAUCAUUGGGCGUAAAGGGUGCGUAGGUGGCACGAUAAGUCUGAAGUAAAAGGCAACAGCUCAACUGUUGUAUGCUUUGGAAACUGUCGAGCUAGAGUGCAGAAGAGGGCGAUGGAAUUCCAUGUGUAGCGGUAAAAUGCGUAGAUAUAUGGAGGAACACCAGUGGCGAAGGUGGUCGCCUGGUCUGUAACUGACACUGAUGCACGAAAGCGUGGGGGAGCAAAUAGGAUUAGAUACC
rnacentral:rRNA from 1 species